GAAAGAUGUAAACUUUGUAUUCAAGUAACUAAAUAAUUAACCAGUAUUUUGCUUUCAGAGAGGAGAAUGAAGAACACGGAAACCGAAAGAAAAGACCUGUUUAACCAGCCACAGGAUGAAGUGUUGCAGGGCGGGCAGGAGCCCAUCCCAGCAUGCAGGCGAGAGGCAGGAAUGCAUCCUGGACAGGUUACCAGUCCAUUGCAGAGCACGUAACAUUCAUGCCUCCGCUGAUUCCUUUAGGAAAAUGUAUCUAAUAUGCAUGUCCAUUUGCUAUGGGAGGAAACCAAAGUAUCUGGAGGAAACCAAAAUGGACAUGGAGGAAACAUAUAAACAUACUCCAGAAAGAAAGAUUUCAGCUGGGAUUUGAACCUGUGACCUUGCUGUGCCGUCUGAAAUCCAAUUUACUAACUGGAGGAGAAGCAAUCGACACAAUUGCUAGUCAAUGGAAUCUUGAAGAAAAUUGAAGGCCAAUUUCCCCAGCAACUAUGGCAUUAGAAUAUUUUCACAUUGUCUCUAUGUUGAUUUGUUUCAAUCAUGAUAUUAGACAUGCAUGAACUGAAAGAGACAAGCUUGCAGCAGUAUAUAAAUAAAUAUACAAUAAAAUCACAGACUUCUUCACAUCUUACAAACUUGGUGUUGAGCUCCAAAAGAGGAAGCUGACUGUGCUCAGAACAGUGAUGAAAAAUCAGCCAGGACUCCCCAAAGAGCUUCUGAACACACAGGUCAGAGCUGUGAAUUCCUCCAAAUCUGCAUUCAUUUAACUGAUCAAACAUAAAGCAUUACAAGUUCAUGUCUUUCUUCCUCAGUG